rnacentral:misc_RNA from 1 species
CGAACAUAUCAUAAUCAAGAUAAGGUCCAUGAUCACAGACAAUAAACGGGGAAGUUUGCCUCGAUUUGUGGACUAGACCAAUCCAAUGACUUGGUGGCAGCACUGGGGUAUCAGCACCUCGAUCUGAGGAAAUCCGGAUCUCAUUCUCACAGAUGGAGUGGUAAAGCUCAGAUAAAAAUUCUCGAGGGAGGUCAUUUCCUCCGUUUAUUCUCCGGUUGUUGCGGAUGAAAUCUUCCUCCGUCAUCUUCUUCUUGACCUGUGUAUUGUGUUGAUCCGUGUUCAGCAUGAUUAGUGAAUAUGAUAACACAAGUGCAGCAUCUUUGUUAGCCAGAACAUCUGGUGAUUGCUCAUAAUAUCGUUCAGAGAACGCUUCAAGCACCCUG